rnacentral:rRNA from 1 species
AGUGAACGCUGGCGGUAGGCCUAACACAUGCAAGUCGAGCGGCAGCACAGUAAGAGCUUGCUCUUACGGGUGGCGAGUGGCGGACGGGUGAGGAAUACAUCGGAAUCUACUUUUUCGUGGGGGAUAACGUAGGGAAACUUACGCUAAUACCGCAUACGACCUACGGGUGAAAGCAGGGGAUCUUCGGACCUUGCGCGAUUGAAUGAGCCGAUGUCGGAUUAGCUAGUUGGCGGGGUAAAGGCCCACCAAGGCGACGAUCCGUAGCUGGUCUGAGAGGAUGAUCAGCCACACUGGAACUGAGACACGGUCCAGACUCCUACGGGAGGCAGCAGUGGGGAAUAUUGGACAAUGGGCGCAAGCCUGAUCCAGCCAUACCGCGUGGGUGAAGAAGGCCUUCGGGUUGUAAAGCCCUUUUGUUGGGAAAGAAAAGCAGCAGGCUAAUACCCCCUGUUCUGACGGUACCCAAAGAAUAAGCACCGGCUAACUUCGUG